UACGAAGGGGGCGAGCGUUGUUCGGAGUUACUGGGCGUAAAGGGCGCGUAGGCGGCGGACCAAGUUAGGCGUGAAAGCCCCGGGCUCAACCUGGGAAUAGCGCUUAAGACUGGUUUGCUUGAGUGCGGGAGAGGUGAGUGGAAUUCCCAGUGUAGAGGUGAAAUUCGUAGAUAUUGGGAAGAACACCAGUGGCGAAGGCGGCUCACUGGCCCGCAACUGACGCUGAGGCGCGAAAGCGUGGGGAGCAAACAGG
rnacentral:rRNA from 1 species